rnacentral:lncRNA from 1 species
CACAGUGUGGAAUUAUCUAUAACUGUUAAAGAAACAAAGUAUGUUCAACAGAAUAAAUUCCUCCCAAGACGUAUUAAUAUAUGAGAAAAAUAGGUCAAAACCCAAUGAAUUUGGUGUGGCUACAUUUUUCUUUUGUUUUCUUUUUUUUAAAUUAGCAUCCAGAAGGUUUACUGUGGAAUCUUUUGGGAUCAACACCUGUGGAGGAAGAGAAUAAGGCUGGAGUCUUCAGGUUGGCCCCUCAGUGAGCUCUGAAGUUGAAAUGUCUCUGAUUGAAGUAACAAGGCAUGAUGACUAAUAAUGCUGAGUCUCUCUCUCUCUCUCUCCCUCAGAGACUGAAUCUUGCUAAGUUGCCCAGGCUGGCCUGGGCCAAAAUUUUGGAUCCUCCUGUCCCAGCCUUCAGCCAAGUACCUGGGAUAGCAGGCAUGUAUCACCAUGUUCAGCUGUUGAGCUUCUUUUGAUGUGCUUAGUGGUCAUUUAUCAUGGCUAUAUUUUUCAUGGAUAGGAUACUUUAAAUCAAAUAACUUUCUAGGAUCAUUAUCUCCUCAUUUGGAGAGAAUUCUUCUCUGUCAAGGUUAAUAUCUAGAUUCCCCCAAGAGCCUUAUGUGCUCAGAGGUAGAGUUUUAGAACAGUGAUCAGAUUGUGAGAGCUUAUCGCUGACUUGCUGAUAGGUGGUGGAUUCUGGUCAGAAGAGGUGGGUCAGUUGGGGCGUGGUCUCCCUCCCCAGCUCCCCUCUUCUCUCCCUGCUUCCUGGCUGCCAGGACAUGAACAGCUUUCUUCUGCCAUGCCCCUCUGCCAUGUUGUCCUGCCUUGGAGCAAGUAGACUAUGGUCUGAAACCUCUAUAAGCUGUGAGCCAAAAUAAACCAUUCCUUGCUAAUUUAUAGGUGUUGGGUAUUGUGUCCCAGCUAUAACAAAGUGACCAAGAUACUCCCACAUCUGAUAUGCUGGAUAAUUACAAGUAAUGAUGGAUGUAAAAGAAUUCCAGUUCUUAAGAAAUGGAUUGAUUUGCUCUCUGUUGGAGCUGACUGUCACAAACCAUGUGAGGGCUAAAGUGCACCUGACAAGUGCCUGCUGCACAGUAAGCACCUAUGUGGGACCAAGGACUAAAUCCCUGAAUGGAAGACUGCACACCAAGUCAGGAUGAGUUAAUAGAAGACACUUGCACUUCUUGGAAGUUUUGUUAAUGCCAGAAUCACACUGAUGACUCCUGAAGAAUAGGGGAGUUCGACUUUGUAAGAAUAUUGCAGUGUUAUUUACAUGAUCAUCAGGACAAAAUAUUAAGUGAAAAGAACAGAAUACCAAAAGAAAGUAUGUGCACUGUAAUUACAACUGUGUGAAAAUGAAAUAUUUUUAAGAGAUGAGCCCUGGGAAGCAAACACGAAAUUGAAAACAGUUGGUUUGUCUAGUGUGGUGAUAUUAUGGGUAACUUUUUUAUAUAUAAUUCUAGGACUGUUACAGUGUUGUUUCAGGCAAAUGCACAUUUUGCUUUCUUAAAUUUUUUUUAAAGCUGAAUGUCUUUCAAUUUCAAGAGAAACACAAACUCACCGUAGAAAAUUUGGAAACUAGAGAAAAGCCAAAAGAAGAAAGCAAUUCACACACAGAGCUGUCACCAGGAGGCAGCUGCUCUUGAAAUGUUGUGUCUUUCAUUGGAGUUUUGCCACAUUUCUUUUUGUUAACAUUUAG